UACAGAGGGUGCGAGCGUUAAUCGGAAUUACUGGGCGUAAAGCGCGCGUAGGUGGUUUGAUAAGUCGGAUGUGAAAUCCCCGGGCUCAACCUGGGAACUGCAUUCGAAACUGUCUGGCUAGAGUUUGGUAGAGGGAAGUGGAAUUCCACAUGUAGCGGUGAAAUGCGUAGAUAUGUGGAGGAACACCAGUGGCGAAGGCGGCUUCCUGGACUAAAACUGACACUGAGGCGCGAAAGCGUGGGUAGCAAACAG
rnacentral:rRNA from 1 species